ACUAAAUGAUUAAUAGUUAAGUUCUUUAAAAUUAAAAAAUUUGGCGGUAUUUUAGUCUAUUCAGAGGAACCUGUUCUGUAAUUGAUAGUCCACGAUUAUAAAUACUUUAGUUUUUAAUUUACAUAUCGUUGUAGUUUGAAUAUUUUAUGAGAAGGUGUAAUAUUCAAUAUGUUAGAAUUAAAAUUUAAAUCAAAUCAAGGUGUAGUUUAUAUUAAAGUAGAAAUGGGUUACAUUAAUUAAAUAAUUUAUAGGAUAAUUUUUUUAAAAGAAGUUUGAAUUUGGAUUUGAUAGUAAUUUUAUUUAUU
rnacentral:rRNA from 1 species